AGAAUCUUCCAUUUUUUCCAAUUCAUAGAAAGAACAAUCAGCAUUUUUCCAUUUUUUUAAUCAACAGCUUUACACAUAUACACACCAGAUCAUGCCAUAAAGGAGGAGGGCACUCCAUUUUCAUAAAUACAGAAAAUAAUGCCCAAUUACACACACCAGAUAAUGAAAUUGGAGAGAUUAACUGAAGCACCACCGUACCAUCACUCUAAAUACACAAAUCCACACACAGACACACAUCUCAACGAAAAAAGCUCACACUCACAUUCACUCACCCUUACCGAAAUACGUACACACAUGGAUGGGGUAGAUAAAGCUUAAAUCAAGAAAAUAGAAGAGACCAAUUGAGAGAGAAAAUUGAGAAAUAAAGAAGAUCGAGAGAUACUGAGCUCAAGAGGGUCAAAACAGUGAGAAAAAGGCAAAAAAAUGACUGAAAACCGGUGAUUUUCAAUUGGAAUAGUAAACCAGUGAAAAAUCUGGCCGCUGUCGAGAUUUAUCAGCGGAGCUGUCGUCGGAGCCAGUUUUCCUCAUAUCGAUUUAGUCGACCAGCCUAAAAUCCCCAAAAUCCCUCUGUUGUACUUGAUUUCUGGGUAUAUCCUGUCAGAAAUGCCAAGAUUCACCGGAAUUCGAUCUGCGGCGAUAAUUCUCGCCGCAGUCUGAGCUCAACGGAGCUUUGUCCAUACGUAUUUUUUUGAUUUUCAUGAAGAUUCGAGUUUCGAGUGUUAAUUACUCUUGGGUAGACUGUUCGUGCCAUAUUUCAUGUUUUCUUGUUGAAGUUCGUUGAUUGAGUUCUACUCGAAAUAUUCGGACGCGGACUCUAUCGGGUUUAAUCAGAGUAACAUAUCAAUUUUGAAAGCGCCAUUGAGGUAAUGCCCCAAAGUAUUUUGUUCCUAAAAGACGUUCGUGAUGAAGGCACGAGGCAUCGAGUGGAUCUUAGUCUAGAACUAGUUUAGAAUAUGAUUUAUAUCUUUCACAUUUUACUAUUUUGGUCUGUAUAACUGGACUGGAGAGUAUUAUUUUUGUUUUGAA